rnacentral:rRNA from 1 species
AUGAGAAAGGAGUUUGGGGGCUUUGGGAUUACUGACAUUGGGGACAUGAAUUUGGCCUUAUUAGCUUCUUGGAUUAGUAGAUACUAUAACUCCGAGGGUAAAAUUUGGAAAAAUAUUAUUGAUUCCAAGUACAAACCUCAGAGUAAUAUAUUUGCUUGUCCCAAUACUGGAGCAUCCCCUUUUUGGAAAGGGGUGCUCUGGGUAGCUCAAGCUGCCAAGGUUGGCUUCUCUUGGAAGAUUGGCAAUGGCAAAAGGGUUAGAUUCUGGGAGGAUCAUUGGUUUGGUAAUGCCACUCUGGUUACCCAGUACUGGGACCUGUAUGUUCUAACUAAUGAGCAAAAUGCCACCAUUGAUAAAAUCUGGGACGACAGUAACCUUAAGCUUACAUUUCGGAGAUGUUUCACCCAGGAACUUAUGUCUCUGUGGUUCGAGCUCUUGGAAAUUGCCAGUUCUAUCCAACUCAUAGUAGAAGAGGACUCCCCAUUUUGGAAUAUGAAUUCCAAAGGAGUUUACUCUGUUAAAUCCUUUUAUAAGUUUCUUAAUUUCAGGGGAGUGCUUCCUGUCGGUUCUCCUGCUAUUUGGAAGAUCAAAAUUCCACCUAGAAUUCAGAUUUUUCUCUGGCUCUUAACUAACAACAAGCUGCUAACCAGAGACAACUUGUGCAAAAGGCAGGAUGUAGGUGACCCUACUUGUGUAUUUUGCUCUGAACAAGAAUCUUGUUCUCAUUUAUUUAGUACCUGUGUUGUUGCUGCUGAAUUCUGGAAAGCCAUCUGUGUCCUUACUGGGAUUAAUGAAGACAUUAAUAUAAUGUCCAUCUCCAUGUACUGGAUGAGAGGAGAUAGUUUUGCUGCGACUAAUAUUGUUCAUGCAACCGGGCUGUGGGCAAUCUGGAAAACUCGCAAUGACAUGGUUUUUAAUAAUGUUUGUUGGCCUGACAUGCAGGCUAUCUGGCGAAAAACUGCAUCAAAUCUAUCUACAUGA